rnacentral:misc_RNA from 1 species
UUCAAGUACAGACGAAUCUUUAAGAUCAGUUUUAUCCUUCGGGUCUCACGCAAUUGCGCAAACACCCAGUUCUUCAAAUGCUGCUUCAUUGAUUCAAAAGAGUAUUCAUUAAAAAGUAUUUAAUAUCAGUUUCUAUCAUUUACUAAAGAAUUACACAACAUUACUACCCUACUACCCUUCUAUACAAAGCAAAAUCUUAGAUG